GAUUUUAUCAAAUAUAUCCCACAUCUAUUUUUCGAUCGCCAGAAAUGUGACGUGGCUCGCCGGAUGUCAAAGUGUAAUUUAUAUUUUAUUUUUUUUAAUCCAUGUCAUUUUAUAUUCUAUUUUUUUAAUCUAUGUCAUUUUAUAUUCCUUAAUUCUAGAAUUUGCUGUCGGCCCUAAGGAUCCCCAAUUCAGAAUUUAACUCAUGACUCCGGCUGAGAAAAGGGAAAAUGGGGACUUCAUCGUCAAGAUUACCGCAAAAUUCUCCCAAAAUUCAAUCCAUCACCAUCUCCGAUGAAGUCAUCAAAAUCUAACCUCAAGAAAAAAUUUCAAGCGGUGACAGAUCCAUCAUUCCUCUCUCUACAGCCAACAAUAAUCUCACGUAUUAUUCUCGCUAAUCUUGGUGAAAGAGCAGCUUCACCAGCAAUUUCUUGCCAAUCUAAAUCCACGGCGAAACCCUCUCGCCAAUCUAAAUUCACGAGCAAUUUCUCGUCAAUCCCGACACGGUUCGCCGCGGGUCACCCACAGUAACACCGAUACACACGCACAGACGGGGAAGCCCUAUAUUUCUUCAUAGAAUCGUGCCGCCUCUAUGUAAUUUCCGGCGAGCAGCACAACCCAAAAGUCAUCACCGCCGCAAUCGUUCUGUUCUCGGUUGAUGUUGCCUUGUCAUUCGGUUGACGGCUCCACCGCGGGUCAGAGGCGCGACUUGGCUGGGAAGCCUAUCGCCGCAUUCCUCCAUCCUCUCGCUCAUUACCAAGUGUCGGCGAGGGGUUUUUCUAAUUCGAUGGGGAAGGUUUUAGUUUUGUUUGCUUAUUUUACUUAUAAUUUCCUAUAAUUUAGUUCAAUCUUGUGUAAAGACAUACUACCAAUGCUGAGCAGGGGUUGAUUAAUUGAGGGACUUUUUGAUGGAGAAAGUAGACGAUGAAGCAUUGUCGGGGUGCGAUAUCGGCGUGGCGUUGCUCUGCUCUGUGAUAGGGGCCGGGGCGACAAGACAAGGGUGGUUCAGCCCGAUACAGGGCAGAAAAUGACAUAGAUUAAGAAAGUAGAAUAUAAAAUGACAUGGAUUUUAAAAAAUAGAAUUAAAUUACAUUGUGGCAUCCAACAAGCCACGUCACAUUUCUGGUGAUCGGAAAAUAGAUGCGGGAUAUAUUUGAUAAAACUCUGAUACUUUGAGAGUUUAGAGAACAUUUCGAAACUUUCAUGAUAUUUUUGAUAAAGC
rnacentral:lncRNA from 1 species